UGUCCGGAAUUAUUGGGCGUAAAGAGCUCGUAGGCGGUUUGUCGCGUCGGCUGUGAAAACCUGGGGCUCAACCCCGGGCCUGCAGCCGAUACGGGCAAACUAGAAUUCGGUAGGGGAGACUGGAAUUCCCGGUGUAGCGGUGAAAUGCGUAGAUAUCUGGAGGAACACCCGUAGCGAAGGCGGCACUCUGGGCCGGAACUGACGCUGAGGAGCGAAAGCGUGGGGAGCAAACAGG
rnacentral:rRNA from 1 species